UGGGGGAUAUUGCACAAUGGGCGAAAGCCUGAUGCAGCGACGCCGCGUGGGGGAUGAAGGCCUUCGGGUUGUAAACUUCUUUUGCUCUGAACAAGGCAUGCUUUUGGGGUGUGUUGAGUGUAGGGGUUGAUUAGCGCCGGCUAACUACGUGCCAGCAGCCGCGGUAAUACGUAGGGCGCGAGCGUUGUCCGGAAUUAUUGGGCGUAAAGGGCUUGUAGGUGGCUGGUUGCGUCUGUCGUGAAAGCUCAUGGCUUAACUGUGGGUUUGCGGUGGGUACGGGCUGGCUUGAGUGCGGUAGGGGAGGCUGGAAUUCCUGGUGUAGCGGUGGAAUGCGCAGAUAUCAGGAGGAAUACCGGUGGCGAAGGCGGGUCUCUGGGCUGUUACUGACGCUGAGGAGCGAAAGCGUGGGGAGCGAACAGG
rnacentral:rRNA from 1 species